rnacentral:rRNA from 1 species
UACAGAGGGUGCAAGCGUUAAUCGGAAUUACUGGGCGUAAAGCGUGCGCAGGCGGUUCGUUAAGUUCGUUGUGAAAGCCCCGGGCUCAACCUGGGAACUGCAAUGGAAACUGGCGGGCUUGAGUGUGGCAGAGGGGGGUGGAAUUCCGCGUGUAGCAGUGAAAUGCGUAGAGAUGCGGAGGAACACCGAUGGCGAAGGCAGCCCCCUGGGCCAACACUGACGCUCAGGCACGAAAGCGUGGGGAGCAAACAGG